rnacentral:rRNA from 1 species
AAUCAACGCUGGCGGCGUGCCUAACACAUGCAAGUCGAACGCGAAAGUUCCUUCGGGAAUGAGUAGAGUGGCGUCCGGGUGAGUAACGCGUGGGUAAUCUACCCUUGGGUGGGAGUAACCAUCGAAGAUGGCUAAUACCGCAUAAUGCAGCGGCUCGACAUCGAGACAGUUGUUAAAGCGCAAUCGCAAGGUUGCGCGCCUAAGGAGGAGCCUGCGUCUGANAGUCUUGUUGG